rnacentral:rRNA from 1 species
AUGCCGCCGCUCCCGACGAUGACCCACUCCUCCUCCUUCCUCCUCCCGCCCCCGCCUGCUCCUCCGGCCGACGCCGAGGACGCGGUCUCCUACGCCGUCGUCGUCCUCAACCAGCGCCUCCCGCGCUUCGCGCCCCUGCUCUGGACCCGAGCGCAGCUGCGGGUGUGCGCGGACGGCGGCGCCAACCGGGUCUUCGACGGCAUGCCGGAGCUGCUCCCGGCCGAGGACCCCGACGAGGUCCGCGCAAGGUACAAGCCCGACGCCAUCGAAGGAGAUAUGGAUUCUGUAAGGCCAGAAGUGAAGGAAUACUACUCCAGUUUGGGUACCCAAAUAAUCGAUGACUCACAUGAUCAGGACACCACAGACUUGAACAAAUGCAUAUCAUUCAUCACCAGAAAUCCACCCGGGCCAGACAAUUCUAAUCUCUGCAUUCUCGUUCUCGGUGCGCUUGGAGGAAGGUUCGAUCACGAGAUGGGGAACAUCAACGUGCUGCAUCGCUUCUCAAACACCAGGAUCAUCCUCCUGUCAGACGACUCCUCGAUCUUUCUGCUCCCAAAGACGCACAGUCACGAGAUCCACAUCGAGCGGUCUGUCGAGGGUCCUCAUUGUGGACUGAUCCCCAUGGGCGCGCCGUCAAGUAGCAGCACCACUACCGGUCUCCGGUGGAACCUAGAUAACACCAGCAUGAAUUUCGGCGGGCUGCUGAGCACAUCAAACAUUGUGGAGGACGAGAUUGUAACAGUCACUUCAGAUUCUGAUUUGAUUUGGACAAUAUCGCUUCGGAAACAUACUUAA